rnacentral:rRNA from 1 species
UACGUAGGUGGCAAGCGUUGUCCGGAAUUACUGGUGUAAAGCGCGUGUAGGCGGCAGACCAAGUCGGCGGUGAAAGCGCCCGGCUCAACUGGGCGAGGUCCGUGGAAACUGGUCAGCUGGAGGACGGUAGAGGCGAGUGGAAUUCCCGGUGUAGUGGUGAAAUGCGUAGAGAUCGGGAGGAACACCUGUGGCGAAGGCGGCUCGCUGGGCCCUCUCUGACGCUGAGGCGCGAAAGCCAGGGGGAGCGGAACGGG